GGCGUACUGCGCUUCACGACAGGAGUAACUUAUCCCCGGGGCCUUAAUUGAUCUCAAGGGAGCUGUCCCUGGAAAGGCUCGUGGGCUUUUCCACACGGCGCCCACCUACUUUGUAGGUUCCCGGGAUCAAUCUCUCCAUCGGUCGUCGUGGUCGCCA
rfam:Paramesorhizobium deserti strain A-3-E Scaffold4, whole genome shotgun sequence.